GAACUCUUAGCUCAGGGGUAGAGCGGUCGCCUCAUAAGCGGUUGGUCGUUGGUUCAAUCCCAACAGGGUUCACCA
rnacentral:tRNA from 1 species